rnacentral:misc_RNA from 1 species
GUGCGAUGAUAUCUCAACAUCCAGUCAUGUUGGAAUUUCUUAAUUUCCACUUCAAACCCUUUUCACUCUCCUCAAUCUAAUCUUUCCUAGCUACUCUCUCCUUUUCCUCAAAUAUCCCCUACAUUUUUUUUGCAGAUUUCAUAUCUUCUUCAUGUCCUCUUUUUAAACUCACUGUACGUUUUCUCUGUUACCCUCAUGGCUUCUAUGUUCCCUUUGUCUUGGGCCAUAAUAGUAGCAUUAGUAAUAUCCUCAUUGUUUGCUUCUCCUGCAUUUUCUACUUCUAGGCGAGUUUUAGACCACCCACCAGAGGUGAAAAAUGGAUUCCGUGUUAUGCUCAAACAUGUCGAUUCUGAUAAAAACUUAACCAAAUUUGAACGUAUCCAACACGGGAUUAAGCGUGCAAGUCACAGGUUGCAAAGGCUCAACGCAAUGGUCCUGACAGCUAGUUCGAAUUCAGAAAUUGACGCACCAGUUCUUCCAGGGAAUGGUGAAUUCUUGAUGAAGUUAGCGAUUGGCACGCCAGCGGAAACCUACUCUGCAAUCAUGGAUACAGGUAGUGAUUUGAUAUGGACACAGUGUAAGCCUUGCACUCAGUGUUAUAAUCAACCUAGCCCCAUUUUCGAUCCCAAAAAGUCAUCUUCCUUCUCCAAAUUAUCAUGCUCUAGUCAACUAUGCAAAGCACUCCCUCAGUCCUCAUGCAGCGAUGGCUGCGAGUACCUUUAUGCCUAUGGUGAUUAUUCUUCCACGCAAGGGAUUCUGGCAACCGAAACCUUCACGUUUGGCAAUGUUUCUGUUCCUAAUGUUGGUUUCGGCUGUGGAGAAGACAACGAGGGAGAUGGGUUUACCCAAGGUUCAGGCCUAGUUGGGCUGGGGCGCGGACCCUUGUCACUAGUUUCUCAGCUUAAAGAAGCCAAAUUCUCUUAUUGCUUAACGUCGAUUGAUGACACAAAAACUAGUACACUUUUGAUGGGAUCUCUAGCAAGCGUGAAUGGCAAUUCUAAUGCAAUCAAAAGCACCCCUUUAAUCCAAAAUCCAUUGCAGCCAUCUUUUUAUUAUCUUUCUCUUGAAGGAAUAACGGUUGGUGGCAAUCGCACGCCUAUCAAGAAAUCAACUUUUCAACUUCAAGAAGAUGGUAGUGGUGGUGUAAUCAUAGACUCUGGCACUACAAUAACCUAUCUAGAAGAAAGCGCUUUUGAUUUGGUGAAAAAAGAGUUCACCUCUCAGAUGGGAUUGUCAGUGGACAACUCAGGUGCUACUGGGCUUGAACUUUGCUUCACCUUGCCAUCAGAUUCAAGUGAAGUAGAGGUGCCUAAGUUUGUACUCCAUUUUGAUGGAGCCGACUUAGAAUUGCCAGGGGAGAAUUAUAUGAUCGCUGAUUCAAGCAUGGGAGUAAUUUGUUUGGCGAUGGGGAGUUCAAGUGGAAUGUCUAUUUUGGGAAAUGUUCAACAGCAGAACAUAUUGGUUCUCCAUGAUCUUGACAAGGAAACCUUAUCAUUCCUUCCCACCAAAUGCGAUCAGUUGUGAGGGUGUGAGUUUUUGUGAUCAGCCUAGCUAUUUUUACUGUGUGUGCUUUCGAUACCAUUUGUUAGAUGAUAUAUAUUUCAAUUUAUCGAAAAAAAAAAGUAUAUCUUUUAAAUAAAAUCAACAUUUUCUUUACGUACAUAUUCCCCCU